rnacentral:rRNA from 1 species
GAUGAACGCUGGCGGCGUGCCUAAUACAUGCAAGUCGAGCGAACAGAUGAGGAGCUUGCUCCUCUGACGUUAGCGGCGGACGGGUGAGUAACACGUGGAUAACCUACCUAUAAGACUGGGAUAACUUCGGGAAACCGGAGCUAAUACCGGAUAAUAUAUUGAACCGCAUGGUUCAAUAGUGAAAGACGGUUUUGCUGUCACUUAUAGAUGGAUCCGCGCCGCAUCAGCUAGUUGGUAAGGUAACGGCUUACCAAGGCGACGAUGCGUAGCCGACCUGAGAGGGUGAUCGGACACACUGGAACUGAGACACGGUCCAGACUCCUACGGGAGGCAGCAGUAGGGAAUCUUCCGCAAUGGGCGAAAGCCUGACGGAGCAACGCCGCGUGAGUGAUGAAGGUCUUCGGAUCGUAAAACUCUGUUAUUAGGGAAGAACAAAUGUGUAAGUAACUAUGCACGUCUUGACGGUACCUAAUCAGAAAGCCACGGCUAACUACGUG